rnacentral:rRNA from 1 species
AUUGAGCGCUGGCGGCAGGCCUAACACAUGCAAGUCGAACGGUAACAGGAAGAAGCUUGCUUCUUUGCUGACGAGUGGCGGACGGGUGAGUCAUGUCUGGGAAACUGCCUGAUGUAGGGGGAUAACUACUGGAAACGGUAGCUAAUACCGCAUAACGUCGCAAGACCAAAAAGGGGGACCUUCUGGCCUCUUGCCAUCGGAUGUGCCCAGAUGGGAUUAGCUAGUAGGUGGGGUAACGGCUCACCUAGGCGACGAUCUCUAGCUGGUCUGAGAGGAUGACCAGCCACACUGGAACUGAGACACGGUCCAGACUCCUACGGGAGGCAGCAGUGGGGAAUAUUGCACAAUGGGCGCAAGCCUGAUGCAGCCAUGCCGCGUGUAUGAAGAAGGCCUUCGGGUUGUAAAGUACUUUCAGCGGGGAGGAAGGGAGUAAAGUUAAUACCUUUGCUCAUUGACGUUACCCGCAGAAGAAGCACCGGCUAACUCCGUG